ACAAUGCUCCCUCACAUGGGGCACAGAGAGGAAGGAAUUUUUUUUUUAAGCCAAUUCCAGUCCCUGGAGCUGCAAACUGCCCUCAGGGCAAAGAAGCCUGCAGAAUAAUUGGGAGGAGUCUGGCAGGAAGGAAGCCAAGAAAGCACAAGCAAGAAUGUGUGAGAAGAUCACAGAGACCUAAAGAAGGGGAAGGGAAGAACCCACAUGUGAGAGAGAAGAGAUUGUCUGACUUGGUCUCUUAGGGCUCCUCAUCUCAAGAAGCCAGCAGGCAAGGGAAGGACAAACCAUCCUUGCAGGAAUAAUUCGUACUGAUCAUUUGGAGGAGAUUCGGCUAGUAUAGCUGCUGUUACAUAAUGAAGAAAAGGAAGAAUAUGUUUCAAACUCAGAUGAACCACUGGGGAGUCUCUUGAUACUCUGUUGCCUAAUUUGGAUGGUUAAUGGGUGUUGCGCCUUAAAGCACUAUCCAAUAAACCUCCUACAUGCAAAUCUCCAUCUCAGAAUCUGUAUCCAAGAGAUUCUACUCAAGACAUCAUCUUUUCCAGUCAGUGUUCCUAAUUGCACUGCCCCUGGAAAACGCACGGAGAAGAAAUACAGCAAAAUACAUGAGAUGGUGAAACACUCUGGCAACUGCAAGCGGACAGAUGGGAUCUGGGAGGUAAUGCAGGGUCACAGGGCAGUUACACCAGGAUAUUUGGUUCUUUCCUACUCUCCUUUCCCCACCCUCAAUGCUAUAUACAUAACUGCUAGUGAAUCAAUUUAUGUACAUAUCCCAGAUAUCUAGGACUGGUUGAGGCGGGUUAUCCAAGAGAGUCACAGUGUAUUACCAUUUUUUAUUAAGUACAACC
rnacentral:lncRNA from 1 species